rnacentral:miRNA from 1 species
GGGGCAGGAGGGGCAGGAGGAGCUCAGGAGGAGUCCCACAGGACACUGGGGUCACCUCCUGUCUGUC